rnacentral:misc_RNA from 1 species
UAUACAAUAAUCUCAGAACGACUUAGAGCGGGGAUUCUGAGAUUUCGUUUCAGUUUUAAAGUAGAGUAUAAUUUUCGAUUUUUUGGGCUUGCUUAAUACUAUUUUCUUCAGUAAUACAUAUAUGUGUAUUUAAUGUUUGCUCUGUACGCGAUCUCAGAAGCCCUUAUUCCUGCAACUAAUCGUUCGGUUUAAUGUCACUUAUUUGUCAAUUCCAUUCGGUUUCAGUUUGGCAGUAGCUUCUGCUCGGAAUCAAAAUUUUCCCAUAUUUCGGCCCUUAUUUCAAAAUUAAAAGUCUUUCCAAAUCGUUAAUAUGGUAGUUACCAUUGUUACCUCUCCGCAUAAAAAAACUGGUCGUGUGGUGCCUCCCAAAAGUACCCCAGUUGCCGACAAAUCUCGAUCCGUUUCCACGCUUCUAUCGACUGAUAAGCGGAAAGGGCCGAUGAGCGUUGGAAUCAAGCGGGCCGCAGCCGGCGCGCUAACGAGUCUUAGCGGACCGAUAGCCGCCGGUCCUGUGAGCCUUGGCCUGGUCACUGGAACGGAUAGGAAUGGAAUACCGCAACACAUUGCGGCCUCAAAGGCACAAGCGACCGCAACCCGUCCGGCAGCCCCGAUCCCGCCACCACGCUCAUACCGCCGGGCAGGGACAUCAGGAGCAGCCGCUUCUGCCUCCGCUCGCCUUGCUGCCAAGGUGCCUGGUGCCCCAGUCGUCGGAUUGGACUUACAAACCGGAAGCAGCAACGUAAACCAACCUCCGUCAGUCACCAAGAAGAGCUCCCUGUCCAGCCGUAAGCUUGGCGGUGGCAAAGCUACAGAUUCAAGCAUCACGCGGCGCGUAAAGUUCUCGGCAAAUGUGCACACAUUCCCGUCCCUUACAAACACCAAGAAGUCCACCCGGAUUGGCGAGCUACAGCUGAAGAAGAAGGUCAAGAAGCUGAAGCGGAUCCGAUCGCGUCGAGAGGGCGGAAGUGGUGAGACAGCGCGUGAUCUCCUUAACUCAAGUGGUAUAGCCGCAAGUAAUCUGGACAUUUACAAAAACGGCGCCAUCGUUGAUGUGGAACCACCAGAACCACCACGUGUUCUACGCCUAAACGUUGUGGGCAAAUCGUCGCCGGCAACGGGAAAAUCUGCAUUAGUAACAGCCCUGCGGCGUAAGGCUAAAAGAACAGCAGAACAGGAAGAAAAGUCCGCAGAAUCUGUAGCUACUAAAGGUAGUAGGACAGGAAAGCCCAAGACAAAGACGAUCAGAAAAAGUGGUGGUAGCAGCGCGAAGACUCUGCUCGCAUCCAGCUCGCAUUUGGUGGAUAGCAGUGCGGGCUUAGUGGGGAGGAAGAAACCAGCAGCAACGGCGGCAACUGUCAGUCAGCGGAAUAGUCAAAUACAAAAACAAAAUGGGCGGCGAGGCUAUGGAAAAGUCUGAAGGCGGCGAUCAGCCGGAGAGUGCUGGCGAGAAGGAGCAGGUGCAUCAAGGAGCAGACCAGCAGGUUCAACGGGAAAAGCGUCGUCGAAGUGUGUCUCCUGAUGGGGGCGAUGUAGGCAGUGUAAAGACGGCUGAGGUUGUUUUAGACGGUGCAUCGGAUGUUGCCGUAACUAAGAAGCGGAUUCUCACUCGACCGAUUCGAUACGUAUUCUUGGCAACAGUUGUACAGUUGACGGUGCUCUGCUAAAGCCGAAAAGACGCCACUCAACACCACACAGCGGAUGCUAAAACAUUUUGAUGAAACAGUCGAAAUUGUUUAGUCUAAUAAAAGAGGAAAUAAUAUACU